rnacentral:rRNA from 2 species
GGCGGCAGGCCUAACACAUGCAAGUCGAGCGGAAACGACACUAACAAUCCUUCGGGUGCGUUAAUGGGCGUCGAGCGGCGGACGGGUGAGUAAUGCCUAGGAAAUUGCCUUGAUGUGGGGGAUAACCAUUGGAAACGAUGGCUAAUACCGCAUAAUGCCUACGGGCCAAAGAGGGGGACCUUCGGGCCUCUCGCGUCAAGAUAUGCCUAGGUGGGAUUAGCUAGUUGGUGAGGUAAUGGCUCACCAAGGCGACGAUCCCUAGCUGGUCUGAGAGGAUGAUCAGCCACACUGGAACUGAGACACGGUCCAGACUCCUACGGGAGGCAGCAGUGGGGAAUAUUGCACAAUGGGCGAAAGCCUGAUGCAGCCAUGCCGCGUGUAUGAAGAAGGCCUUCGGGUUGUAAAGUACUUUCAGUUGUGAGGAAGGGGGUAGCGUUAAUAGCGCUAUCUCUUGACGUUAGCAACAGAAGAAGCACCGGCUAACUCCGUGCCAGCAGCCGCGGUAAUACGGAGGGUGCGAGCGUUAAUCGGAAUUACUGGGCGUAAAGCGCAUGCAGGUGGUUCAUUAAGUCAGAUGUGAAAGCCCGGGGCUCAACCUCGGAACUGCAUUUGAAACUGGUGAACUAGAGUACUGUAGAGGGGGGUAGAAUUUCAGGUGUAGCGGUGAAAUGCGUAGAGAUCUGAAGGAAUACCAGUGGCGAAGGCGGCCCCCUGGACAGAUACUGACACUCAGAUGCGAAAGCGUGGGGAGCAAACAGGAU